rnacentral:lncRNA from 10 species
GUAUACUUGACAAAACGCAAAAGAAUCAUCUGAAUAACUCAUUUCAAGUAAAAAGAAAAAAGCCAAGCUGGAAAAACAUAAAAAGGUUACACAUCUUCUGAAUAACCUCUUUCACAAAGUAACUGAGAAAUCAAAUAACCAUAAAACAUUCAAAAGCAAACCUUGUAGAAACAAAUCUCUUUGCUACGCUAACCAGAAAAGUAGUCUCAGAGCUAAAGAUAACCCUGUCUGGACAGUUCCCUGGUGCUGAAGUUCCAGAGCCGGUAAACGCAUGCCUGGGUGCUGCUUUCACUCCUACCACCCUCAGAAAAACCCGGCCUGCCAAGACCGUGAGCAAGAAUAGUAGAACUUCACAAGGUAGGGAGCAUCCCAAACUGCAGUGAUGGUAGGAACUGGAGUCUCUUCAGGAUUAAACAGAUUUACUAGUUGCAAACAGGAAGAGCAGCAGAGUGCAGGGUGUUAGCACUCGCCGAGGGGGAGGGGCUGGAAGAUGGCGGCGGACGCACACCCACCCGACCGCGACAGAGCUUAGGCCCCUAGCCCGCGCCGCCGCCCGCUGCUCGCAGCCACUGUGGGCAGCCCUGCUCUGUCCCGCGUUGCUGGUAGAGCCGCCCCGCGGAGGCGUGGGACCAGGGUGGCGUCCGCAUCCCCUGCCAGCGCGCCUUCGCCCGGGUCCGUCCAGGGAGCACCUGUGCACGGCCAUAUUGGAUUCUGUGCCCCAGUCACUGCCUCAGCGCGGCGGGAAAGGAGAGGAGUUCAACAAUUUUUAUGAAUUUCUAAUCCAACCUCAUCAUCCUAUGGGAAACAGAAGACCACCAAGAACAGCCAGCUGAGACAGAAUUUCACUGUGUUGCCCAAGCCAAUCUUAAACUCCUGGUCUCAAGCGAUCCUCCUGCCUUGGCCUCCCACUGUGCCUGGCCUAUGGACUCUGAAUUUUUUUAAAAGACUGGAAAAAACUUUUAUAAGAGAAUUGGAAAUUUGGACAAUGGAAUCUCAUUCUGUCACCAGGCUGAAGUGCAGUGACGUGAUCUUGGCUCACUGCAACCUCCACCUCCUGGGUUCAAGCGAUUCUCCUGCCUCAGCCUCCUGAGUAGCUGGGAUUACAGGUAUCUUGGCAGUAACCUCCUCCAUAUAUUUCCUUGGCCCUCAGCUUACAUCUAGCAAAAUGACUCUACUGGUUCCAGGCUUCACAUGCAUACAACAUGGUGUUGGAGGAACAGAGAUGUUUUCUCUUCCUGGUGUUUUCCCAGACAUUUCUUAGCUGGCAUUUCAAACAAGGGUCCUGAAAUUCACCCUGGUUGGGUCGUGUUCUCCCCUUCCCAUUCCCCAUCCCCACCCUCAACCGAAAAAUGAUGUAAGCAGGGGAAAUUGAAUGUACCAAUGUUUGUUUUUAAACAAGCCACAGACCCCUCCCCAACUCCCCGACUGAAGCUUGAAGUGGGAUCAGCUUUCCCUAAAGUACUUGAGCUUAUGGUAAAGCAUAUAUGUUAUCCAAGUUAAAGUCUGGACGCUGUUAGUAAUGGGAAGGCAAGUAAUGAAUGUUAGCUAUGGAGCCAACAGACAGUGUCCACUCCAUUGUCUUUAAGGCCCAACUAAAGAUAACCUCUUUACCAAUGUCGGUUUAUUUAUUCAUUUAUUUAUUCAUUGAGAUGGAGUCUCACUCUCUCACCCAAGCUGGAGUGCAGUGGAAUGAUCUCAGCUGACUGCAAUUUCUGCCUCCCAGGUUCAAGCAAUCUCCUGCUUCAGCCUCCCAAGUAGCUGGGAUUACAGGCGCACACCACCAUGCCCGGCUAAUUUUUGUAUUUUUAGUAGAGAUAGGGUUUCACCAUGUUGGCCAAGCUGGUCUCGGACACCUGACCUCAAGUGAUCUGCCUGCCUCGGCCCCCAAAGGUGUGAGCCACUGCACCUGGCUACAAUGUCAGUUUCUAUAAAAACUGCCUUGACUUGUUUUGUUUGCUUGUUUUGUUUGUUUGUGUUUUAAUUUUUAUUAUUUUUUUUUAGAGACAGGGUCUCAAUCUGUUGUCUAGGCUUGAGUGCAGUGGUGCAAUCAUAGCUCACUGAAGUGUUGGACUCCCAGGCUCAAGCAGUCCUCCCACCUCAGCCUCCCAAGUAGCUGAGACUACAGGCAUGCACCACCCUGUCUGGCUAAUUUUUUAUUUUUAGUAGAGAUGAGGUCUCACUAUGUUGCCCAAGGUGGCCUCAAACUCCUGGCCUCAAGUACUCCUGUGGCCUUAGCCUCCCAAAGCUCUGGGAUUGCAGGUAUGAGCCGCCAUGCCUGGCCUACUGUAUAUUUUAUGCAUUUGAUAUAAGUCUUGCCUCCCUAAGUAUAUUACAAGUCCCUUGAAGUUAAAGACAUUAGAUUCCUACUCAGUGCUGAGCUGCAACAGAGAGCACUCAAUGAUGGAUAAAAUAGUUUUAGCAUGCAUUCAGCGAUAUAUAUUUAGAAAGUGGAACUAGGUGGUUGAAAAAAGUGUAUAGAUGGGUGGAAGGGAAUAUUACAGCUCUUAGAAUUGUCCUAAGGUGAGAGUAACAAAUUAAGCAAUGAGUCCCUGGGUUCACUCAAGCAACUUCACUCUCUAAAACAAGAGCCCACAGAAUCCCAUUUCUGCUUUCAGAAUGAGUUUGAGGCCAAUAUUAUUUCCAUUUUUUUUCUUUUUCUUUCUUUCUUUUUUUUUUUUUUUUUUUUGAGACGGAGUUUCACUCUUGUUGCCCAGGCUGUUUUGAUCUCGGCUCACUGCAACCUCUGCCCCUGGGUUCAAGCGAUUCUCCUGUCUCAACCUCCCAAGCUGGGAUUACAAGCAUGCGCUACCACACCUGGCUAAUUUUGUAUUUUUAAUAGAGACGGGGUUUCUCUGUGUUGGUCAGGCUGGUCUCAAACUCCCAACCUCAGGUGAUCUGCCCACCUUGGCCCAGCCUCCAAUAUGAUUUUCUAAUAGCUGUGUUUGAUGAUUAUAUUUAUUCCUCCAUCAGUAGCUUUUUUAGCCUUGAAAAUAUCUAUUUAAGUUUCUUAUUUCCUUUGGAUCUAUCAAAGUGUUUUUCCCCAAGUGGCACCUGGGAAAACAUAUUCUAUUCAUUUAUUUUAUAACUGUUCCCUUGACCUCUUUAUUGCUUCCCUAUUACAACCCAAGAUGCUCUUGUAAACCUGACUUAAUAUUGGCAGUCUUCAUCCCUUGCAAAUGGAAGUGAUGACAGACCCAAUACUUUGUGUAAAAAUAUUUUGCUAUUUCUAUACAAAAUAUUUUAUUAAUGGAAACCACAUGUUAUGUAUUUUACAUAUGUUAUGACUUGAAAUUUAUGUUAUGACUUGAAAUUGGGGAAUCUGAUAUGUCUCUAAUAAUAAAGGCUUCACAGUACAACUGUUGUUUGUAGAUUUACAGAUGGCUGGCAUUUUAAUUUUUUAAUUUAAAUUUUUAAUUCAAAUAUGAUUGACCUGAAAUAUUAACAAAAAUUAUCCUUGAAUUGUUGCACUGCAAAAUAAGAAAGCAAAAUCAGCUAUCUAUGAUGCAACAUUUUAUUUAUAAAUUAAGAUUGUUAGCACUCAUCUAUUGAUUUUUCUCUCUAUUAAACAUACUCCUAAUAAUAAAGGGAAGGAAGGAUCUUUGUAAAGUUAAAUUUACCGUAGCAAAGAAUAGAGGUGAUAAUUAAUAACAUGUUAAAACUCCUU